rnacentral:rRNA from 1 species
UACGUAGGUGGCAAGCGUUGUCCGGAUUUACUGGGCGUAAAGAGCGCGCAGGCGGUCGUUCAAGUCGCGUGUGAAAGCCCCCGGCUCAACUGGGGAGGGUCACGCGAUACUGAUCGACUCGAAGGCAGGAGAGGGAAGUGGAAUUCCCGGUGUAGUGGUGAAAUGCGUAGAUAUCGGGAGGAACACCAGUGGCGAAGGCGGCCCACUGGAUCGGUACUGACGCUGAGGUGCGAAAGCGUGGGGAGCAAACAGG